rnacentral:rRNA from 1 species
UACAGAGGGUGCGAGCGUUGUUCGGAAUUAUUGGGCGUAAAGGGCGCGUAGGCGGUGCCACAAGUCACUUGUGAAAUCCCCGGGCUUAACUCGGGGCCUGCAGGCGAAACUGUGGUGCUGGAGUAUGGGAGAGGUGCGUGGAAUUCCCGGUGUAGCGGUGAAAUGCGUAGAGAUCGGAAAGAACACCAACGGCGAAAGCACUCUGCUGGGCCGACACUGACACUGAGAGACGAAAGCUAGGGGAGCGAAUGGG